rnacentral:rRNA from 1 species
UACGUAGGUGGCAAGCGUUGUCCGGAAUUACUGGGUGUAAAGGGUGCGUAGGCGGUUUUAAAGUCAGAUGUGAAAUGCCGCAGCUUAACUGCGGAGCUGCAUUUGAAACUUAAAGACUUGAGUGAAGUAGAGGUAAGCGGAAUUCCUAGUGUAGCGGUAAAAUGCGUAGAUAUUAGGAGGAACACCAGUGGCGAAGGCGGCUUACUGGGCUUUAACUGACGCUGAGGCACGAAAGCAUGGGUAGCAAACAGGAUUAGAUACCCGGGUAGUCCCUGA